UCCCCGAGAGCUCACCGGUAGAGAUCUCGACUGUUCAUCGAGCGGCCGUUGAUUCGAAUCCAACUCGGGGAGCCA
rnacentral:tRNA from 1 species